rnacentral:rRNA from 1 species
GACGAACGCUGGCGGCGUGCCUAAUACAUGCAAGUAGAACGCUGAAGGAGGAGCUUGCUUCUCUGGAUGAGUUGCGAACGGGUGAGUAACGCGUAGGUAACCUGCCUGGUAGCGGGGGAUAACUAUUGGAAACGAUAGCUAAUACCGCAUAAUAGUAGAUGUUGCAUGACAUUUGCUUAAAAGGUGCAAUUGCAUCACUACCAGAUGGACCUGCGUUGUAUUAGCUAGUUGGUGGGGUAACGGCUCACCAAGGCGACGAUACAUAGCCGACCUGAGAGGGUGGUCGGGCACACUGGGACUGAGACAAGGCCCAGACUCCUACGGGAGGCAGCAGUAGGGAAUCUUCGGCAAUGGACGGAAGGCUGAACGAGCAACGCCGCGUGAGUGAAGAAGGGUUUCGGAUCGUAAAGCUCGGUUGUAAGAGAAGAACGAGUGUGAGAGUGGAAAGUUCACACUGUGACGGUAGCUUACCAGAAAGGGACGGCUAACUACGUG